rnacentral:rRNA from 1 species
GAACGGUAACAGGAAGCAGCUUGCUGCUUCGCUGACGAGUGGCGGACGGGUGAGUAAUGUCUGGGAAACUGCCUGAUGGAGGGGGAUAACUACUGGAAACGGUAGCUAAUACCGCAUAACGUCGCAAGACCAAAGAGGGGGACCUUCGGGCCUCUUGCCAUCGGAUGUGCCCAGAUGGGAUUAGCUAGUAGGUGGGGUAACGGCUCACCUAGGCGACGAUCCCUAGCUGGUCUGAGAGGAUGACCAGCCACACUGGAACUGAGACACGGUCCAGACUCCUACGGGAGGCAGCAGUGGGGAAUAUUGCACAAUGGGCGCAAGCCUGAUGCAGCCAUGCCGCGUGUAUGAAGAAGGCCUUCGGGUUGUAAAGUACUUUCAGCGGGGAGGAAGGCGAUAAGGUUAAUAACCUUGUCGAUUGACGUUACCCGCAGAAGAAGCACCGGCUAACUCCGUGCCAGCAGCCGCGGUAAUACGGAGGGUGCAAGCGUUAAUCGGAAUUACUGGGCGUAAAGCGCACGCAGGCGGUCUGUCAAGUCGGAUGUGAAAUCCCCGGGCUCAACCUGGGAACUGCAUUCGAAACUGGCAGGCUAGAGUCUUG